AUUGAACGCUGGCGGCAUGCUUACACAUGCAAGUCGAACGAGUGGCGGACGGGUGAGUAAUCUCUCGGAACCUGCCCCAUAGCGGGGGAUAACUACUCGAAACGGUGCUAUACCGCAUACCCUUGGAGCUGCCUCUAUGGGAUUAGCUAGUUGGUGGGGUAAUGGCUCACCAAGGCAACGAUCCCUAGCUGGUUUGAGAGGAUGACCAGCCACACUGGAACUGAGACACGGUCCAGACUCCUACGGGAGGCAGCAGUGGGGAAGAUUGGACAAUGGGGGAAACCCUGAUGCAGCCAUGCCGCGUGUAUGAAGAAGGCUGCGGGUUGUAAAGAACUUUUGGCGGGGAAGCGGUACCUGCAGAAGAAGCACCGGCUAACUACGUGCCAGCAGCCGCGGUAAUAC
rnacentral:rRNA from 1 species